UUGCCCAGGCUGGAGUGCAGUGGUGCCAUCUGGGCUCGCUGCAACCUCCGCCUCCUGGGUUCAAGCGAUUCUCCUGCCUCAGCCUCCUAAGUAGCUGGGACUACAGGCGCGCACCACCACGCCUAGCUAAUUUUUGUAUUUUUAGUACAGAUGAGGUUUCACCAUGUUGGCCAGGCUGGUCUCGAACUCCUGACCUCAGGUGAGGCACCACCUCGGCCUCCCAAAGUGCUGGGAUUACAGGCCCGAGCCGCCACACCUGGCCAGCCCUCUAACUCUCUAACUGCCUUUGUCUCACCCUAUUAUCUGCCAGCUUUGUAUAAGGAAUCCUGUGAGGCUUAUCGGCUCAGUGGGAAAACUUCUGGAAACUUCACCAUUGAUCCUGAUGGCAGUGGCCCCCUGAAGCCAUUUGUAGUGUACUGUGAUAUCCGAGAGAACCGAGCGUGGACAGUUGUGCGGCAUGACAGGCUGUGGACAACUCGAGUGACAGGUUCCAGCAUGGAGCGGCCAUUCCUGGGGGCUAUCCAGUACUGGAAUGCAUCCUGGGAGGAAGUCAGUGCUCUUGCCAAUGCUUCCCAGCAUUGUGAACAGUGGAUCGAGUUCUCCUGCUACAAUU
rnacentral:sRNA from 1 species